rnacentral:rRNA from 1 species
UACGUAGGGUGCAAGCGUUGUCCGGAAUUAUUGGGCGUAAAGAGCUCGUAGGCGGUUUGUUGCGUCGGCUGUGAAAUCCCGAGGCUCAACCUCGGGUCUGCAGUCGAUACGAGCAAACUAGAGUGUUGCAGGGGAGACUGGAAUUCCUGGUGUAGCGGUGAAAUGCGCAGAUAUCAGGAGGAACACCGGUGGCGAAGGCGGGGUCUCUGGGCAACAACUGACGCUGGAGGAGCGAAAAGCGUGGGGGAGCGAACAGG